UCCAUUCCUGCAGUGAAAGUCAGAUUCAGAAAGGAGAGAUCCUGAUUUUCAGGCAUCCACCUUCAGGACAAGGACACACAAGUUUCCAGAUUCUUUUCAGGCUCCUGAAGGGAGUGACUCUGGGAAGAAGAUAAUAUGUCAAGGCAACAGCUCUUUGAUCAUGUCCCUAGCCCCAGCUUACUACACUAGAGACUUUGCAUUGGCCAAAGAAGCUGUAACAGCAGCCAGGACUCAAACCCAUCCUGUAUGGGACAAGAAAGAGGCUCCUACCAAAACCUGUCACCAUCACUAAGUGAGGCAUUUCUACACUGGAAACUUCCAUGUGAUAGAAGGAGGAAAAGAAGAAGAAGAGGAGGAGGAGAAGGAAGAGGAGAAAAAGAAGAAGGAGGAGGAGGAGGAGAAAAAGGGGCAACAGGAGGAGGAGAAGAAAGACCAGGAGAAGAAGAAGGAGAAGAAAGUAAUUAACUCUGAUAAUCACUGCUUCUCAGAGGAGUUAAAUAAGAUAUAAUCAUUUCCACAAUAAAGUUGAAAGAAUUCAGAAAAGCUUCAGCCAGAAAAUACUUUAUGUCCUUGCCAAAUGAAGAAACAUGGCAGCCAAGGGCAACAACAGCUUACAAUAUGAGCUUAUUUGCAAAACAUUAUGGAGCAGGAGAAUGGAAGAUUAUGAGCAGUUUUGCUCAAUCAAAACAGUAAAGGCAAAAAUGAGCUUAAGAAAUAUUGGCUGGAGACCCAAGUCUACGUGGGUGAGUAGGAAUGUCCCUGCUCAAUUUGAUGUGUUUCCCAAUUGAUUUGAGAUUGUGGGACAUCGACCUUUGGAAACAACUAAGGAUUCACUCAAAGAACAUGACUAUGACUACUGAUAUCUUGUUGACAGGAAAGAGAAGGGAAUAAGCAUUUAUGAAAUGUUUACUAUGUGCCAGACACAUUAGUAAACACUUUAUAACUAUUAUCUAAUUUGAUA